ACGGGUGAGUAACGCGUGGGAAUCUACCCAUCUCUGCGGAAUAGCUCUGGGAAACUGGAAUUAAUACCGCAUACGCCCUACGGGGGAAAGAUUUAUCGGGGAUGGAUGAGCCCGCGUUGGAUUAGCUAGUUGGUGGGGUAAAGGCCUACCAAGGCGACGAUCCAUAGCUGGUCUGAGAGGAUGAUCAGCCACAUUGGGACUGAGACACGGCCCAAACUCCUACGGGAGGCAGCAGUGGGGAAUAUUGGACAAUGGGCGCAAGCCUGAUCCAGCCAUGCCGCGUGAGUGAUGAAGGCCUUAGGGUUGUAAAGCUCUUUCACCGGUGAAGAUAAUGACGGUAACCGGAGAAGAAGCCCCGGCUAACUUCGUGCCAGCAGCCGCGGUAAUACGAAGGGGGCUAGCGUUGUUCGGAAUUACUGGGCGUAAAGCGCACGUAGGCGGAUAUUUAAGUCAGGGGUGAAAUCCCAGAGCUCAACUAUGGAACUGCCUUUGAUACUGGGUAUCUUGAGUAUGGAAGAGGUAAGUGGAAUUGCGAGUGUAGAGGUGAAAUUCGUAGA
rnacentral:rRNA from 1 species